CAAAGCUCGGGGGCGACGUGAGUGCCAUUGUCGGCCGCUGACCCCGGGGGGCUCUCUAACCGAACGUGCCUUGGUCUCUCUGUCCGACCCGUUUGGUCCGCCUACCGACUGGGAUCCCAAGUCCUGCUGGGCUGAUAGGGAGGGGGCAGUCGGAGGAAGAUGGCAUCUUCGUGUUUCCGUUCCUCCCGGUUCGCAGUUACAGCCACGUUCGGUGUGAGUCGAACAACCGGGAGAUGGAGGCCCUGCAGGAGCGGUAGCUUCCCACUGAGGAACUGGGAGUGUGAGGAGUCAUGAAGGAACUACCCCAUCAGCUUCCUUACCUCCUUACGCUCUUAGGUUUUUUCAGCCGGGAAGCUUCAGUAUGGGGGAAAUAGUAGUCUGAGGAAUGAAUCAGAAGUUACAGAACCUCCUCCCCCUUCCAUCCACGUGGCUCCCUGCAGUGGGGGUCUUCACCAACUGUUGGGGACUCUGAGGAAGGCGCUGCGGAUUGCUGGGUGUCGUGAUUUCUAAAAAAACAAAAAGGCUUGACAGUCACACUGCCCAGAGGUUGGGAGAUUUCCAUGUCAAGGCAGGCGUCACUGAUUCUGCUCAGUGAGAUCCUCGCUUGGUGGGAAGCGAUGGCCGCCUUCCCCUUUGCGCAGCUCUGAGGGGGAUGGGCAUUACACUCUUGUAGGCCUGGUUCUUGGUCACCUGAGACGUCUGCAGUGGCCUACAGCUGUCACUGUGUUACUGUAACCUGUCAUUUCUACGCACAGACACCAAAGUGAGCAGAGAAUGGGAAGGGCAGGACAGGAACUGGUUUGGGGUUUUCUGGAAUGAUCCUUGGGAGUGUGGCCAUGACCCAUAUUUGGUCUGUUUUCCUAGAGAGCGAAUGCAGCAAACGCUGUCCUGUGUCCGAUGUCCCUCUGUGGAUGCGCACGGAGGCGUGUAUAAAACGUGGGUUUCCGUUUUUCUCGCGGGAGUUUGCCGGCUGGAAACGACGCAGCUGGACAGGGUGCUGGGGCCCUGGGGAGGAAGGUGAUGGCCGGUUCCUGAGAAUCGACGUGGACACUGGCCGCAGUGACUGACUAGACCAUCCAGCCACCGACCGCGCCCUCUAAGAUACGAGCUGCAGGAGUCUGUACCGCCAGCGGCGCACUGGAAGCACUCGGCGUCCCGGGCCCAAGGCCGCACGGAAACGGGCUGUGGGCUGCUUGGCCGUCCCCACCCCAGACACUGGGGACGGGUGGACCCUCCCUUCAGUCUGACGGCGUGGGGCGGUCCCUUUUCUGAGGGCCCGGAGGCCGGUGGGUCUUUGCGUUUUCAUGAGGCUGACUGUCCCAGCAACGCCAGCUGGCGAGUGGCGCUCUCGAGGAUAGCAAACCUGCAUCGGGGCGGCUGAGGAACCCUCCUGAACCGGGUCUCUGAGCCCCAGAAACCCUCCUGCUCUGCCUUCCUCAGCCUCUAGCCCAAGUGAGGCUCGGCCUUGAGAGAGGCUUGUGAUCUGCUUCCCUUCCCUCCUGUCUCAGCAGGAAGCACUGGGGGUCUUGGAAGUGACUUUUUUGGUCCACACGUGGGGACCCUGCCAGAGGGGUGAGUCCCACCCUGACACCAGCCACCAUCUUCCGCUCUGAAGACUCAUGGGCUCUGCGUCUGCCUUCGGGCCCUUUGAACGGGGCGCAGCUAGGCCGGGCGGAGCGCUGACAGCGUCCUGGGAGCCUGUGUGCUUGCCGCCUCUGUGGUGUGUCCGGAAGCCCAGGGGAAGGUGCACAGGAGUGCGAGGCUGAGGGAAGGCGGAGCUGCCCGCCUCGGGUGAGAACGGGAGGGCCUUGCUGUAGGCCGGUGACGUUGGCUCACAUCUUGGGUAGCAGUCGCUCUGCUCUUGGCUGGGUGGUGGCAGCUGAACGUGCCCAUGUGAGUACGGGUGCCAUCUCAGCCCACUGCUCAUUGCAAAGGCAGGUGACUGAGCCAGUGUGUUGAGGGGUCAGGUAGCAAUACGAAGCUGUGUCCCCUCACUGCUGCACCGCUGGACCAGGGCACUGUCCCAGAAGAGCGUCUGCGGCAGGGAGAGGACCUGAGCAGGCUGAGCACCGCCUGACGCAAUCACCUAACCUAGGGGAUUCCUGAAUUCUGUGACAACCUUGAGAGUCUGGAAGAAAUGGUGGCCCCAGGUUUUCAGAACUGUCUCCUGGUGGAGCAGACCGUGUCGGUGCAGGCAACAGGCGUGCACGUGGAAGAGCACCCUCUGCCUCCCCGGAGCAUCUGCACGAGGAAGGUGGGCAGUGGGUUGAGACCAGCGAGGCUGUGAGGUGGCAGACAGGACUGUUGAUCCGAGAAGUCGAAGGCCCGGAAGAUGACAGCCAGUACAGUGGGGAGGGUGGGGUAGCUGGGAGCCCCGCCUCAGCUUUCCGGAUGACUGGAGUCUGCGGGAAGGCUCUGCCUCACAGCCUCACCCCAGAAAGUUGUGUGGGUGCAGCAGGGGGCAAGCAGGACAUCAGGGCGUCCCCUGUGCUGCGUGUCCUCUGGCCUCGGGUGCUGGUGCGAUGCGCCAGCAGUGGGCCCACACGGCAGACCCAGGGACGGUAUGGCGUCUGGAGUGGGCCAGCUGUUCUGUGGAGCAGCUGUUGAGUGGGGACCUGAGCUGCCCACGCCUCCUGCCUGCCAUUCUUGGUCUCCCGUGGCUCGGCCCCCGCAGGCUGUCAAGAAAAGCAUUUAUUUCUGUGUCGGCAAAACGAGAAUAAAUUGGUCUUGAUCUGAAUGGAAUGGAUUGCUGCUUGCAUUGAGUUUUCCACAGUCUGAUGUGCUGAGGCUGUUCUGGAGGGAAGCCACGGUGCCCCAUCCUACCCACCCCUUUUCCCUGUAGGGAAAGGGGCUCCUCCUUCUGGUAUGGGGGGACAGGAUUAAAAAACAGAGCACUCCCCCGAAACUAUGGCCCCCCGGACACUCUGUUAACCCAGAACUGAAGCCAUUCCCGAAGCCCAGUCUUGAGACAAAGAUUACACUGGACUAUAAAACAGAAAAUAUCACACGUGAGGAGCGUGCUGGUUAGUUCAGUCAGAUAAAUGAGACCAAAUGGGCAGCUCCUAUCCAAA